rnacentral:rRNA from 1 species
GGUGAACGCUGGCGGCGCGCCUAACACAUGCAAGUCGAACGAUUAAAGCACCUUCGGGUGUGUAUAAAGUGGCGAACGGCUGAGUAACACGUGGGCAACCUGCCCCUUUCAUUGGGAUAGCCACGGGAAACCGUGGAUAAUACCGAAUACUUCGAGACUUCCGCAUGGAAGACUCGAGAAAGCUCCGGCGGAGAGGGAUGGGCCCGCGGCCUGUUAGCUUGUUGGUGGGGUAACGGCCUACCAAGGCAAUGAUGGGUAGCUGGGUUGAGAGACCGACCAGCCAGAUUGGGACUGAGACACGGCCCAGACUCCUACGGGAGGCAGCAGUGGGGAAUCUUGCACAAUGGGCGAAAGCCUGAUGCAGCGACGCCGCGUGCGGGAUGAAGGCCUUCGGGUUGUAAACCGCUUUCAGCAGGGACGAGGCGAAAGUGACGGUACCUGCAGAAGAAGCCCCGGCUAACUACGUG